AGUAGGCUGGUCAAUUAAUUGGUUUGAGGCAAAGGUGGUAUUGGGUAUGAGGGAUAGAAAUUCAAAGGAGCAUGAUCAUCCAAAAAAGGAUCUUCACACAAGGUGACUGAUCCAUAUUAGAAACGUUGGGUUACGUUGCUUCUACAUGUGUGUCGUUGGUUGGCUCUCUCAUUCUAAACAAAAUGAUUAUUUUAUUUUAUUUUAUUAUUAUUUU